rnacentral:rRNA from 1 species
CUACGGGAGGCUGCAGUGGGGAAUAUUGGACAAUGGGGGAAACCCUGAUCCAGCAAUGCCGCGUGUGUGAAGAAGGCCUGCGGGUUGUAAAGCACUUUCGGUUGGGAGGACUGCUUCUAGCACUAAUAUUGUUGGAAGUUGACGUUACCUUCAGAAGAAGCACCGGCUAACUCCGGUGCCAGCAGCCGCGGUAAUACGGAGGGUGCAAGCGUUAAUCGGAAUUACUGGGCGUAAAGCGCGCGUAGGCGGCUAGAUCAGUCGGGUGUGAAAGCCCCGGGCUUAACCUGGGAACUGCAUCCGAUACUGUCUAGCUUGAGUACAGGAGAGGAGAGUGGAAUUCCACAUGUAGCGGUGAAAUGCGUAGAUAUGUGGAGGAAUACCAAUGGCGAAGGCAGCUCUCUGGCCUGAUACUGACGCUGAGGUGAGAAAGCGUGGGGAGCAAACAGGAUUAGAUACCCUCGUAGUC